rnacentral:lncRNA from 1 species
ACUUAUCCCAAUAGGGAUAGAAUAAAAAAAUGAUGGAAUUAGUAGUGAGAUCUAUGUUGGCAAAAAAAUUGCACAAGAAUUUCCUUCUAUGUAAAUAUGUGUGAUAACAAUAUUAGUGUUAUUAGAAGUAUCCCAGCACGAGUUCCACUUGUUUCUAAGCCUCUUGUAGCGGUAAAUUCAUGACCGUCAAGCUAUGGAUAAGCU